AUUGAACGCUGGCGGCGUGCCUAACACAUGCAAGUCGAGCGGUAACAGGUGUAGCAAUACAUGCUGACGAGCGGCGGACGGGUGAGUAACGCUUGGGAAUCUGCCUAUUAGUGGGGGACAACUCGGGGAAACUCGGGCUAAUACCGCAUACGCUUUACGAAGGAAAGCCGGGGACCGCAAGGCCUGGCGCUAAUAGAUGA
rnacentral:rRNA from 1 species